rnacentral:rRNA from 1 species
CCCUUCGAUGUUCUGGGCUGCACGCGCGCUACAAUGACACAUUCAACAAGUUUAUUUAAAUCGCUGUUUUGAAAAAAUUGGCAAAUCUUUUGAAAUUUUGUCGUACUAUGGAUUGUUGAUUGAAAUUAUUCGACAUGAAAAAGGAAUACCUAGUAAAUGUGAUUCAUCAAAUUGCAUUGAUUAUGUCCCUGCCCUUUGUACACACCGCCCGUCGCUACUACCGAUCGAGCGCCCUAGCGAGGUCGUCCGAUUGUCGCCGAGGCCGGCUUUCGCGAGCUGCGCAUCCGACGAAAAGGCGAUCGAACUCGAGCGCUUAGAGGAAGUAAAAGUCGUAACA